AUAAGAAAAAAUUUUCUCUCUUUCUGCUGGGACAUUAGUUUUCUCCUACCUUCAGACUCAGGCUAGGACUGGAACUUACACAAUUCAUUGGCUCUCCUGGGUCUCAGGCUUUCAGACUCAGGCUGGGCUCCCCUGGGUCUCCAGCUUGCAGCAGAUCUGAGGACUGGUCGGCCUCCAAAAGCACGGUCUUGCUCUGUCUCCCAGGCUGACGUACAGUGGCGUGACCUCGGCUUACUGCAACUUCCAUCUCCCAGGUUCAAGUUAAGUGAUUCUCAUGCCUCAGCUACCCAAGUAGACGGAGUUUACAUCUUGUCGCCCAGGCUCCGCUUUCUUGGUGGAUGGCAACUUCAUCUGUUCUUCUGAUACCACCAUUUUGUUCACCUGGCGAGUCAAUGAUGCUCGAUUGCAGGUUUUCUGUCUCCGUGGAGGCACUUUUCUUUGCAUCUUGGAUGGGUUCAUUGUAGAACUUUAAAUAUUUAGUGGGUAUCCAAACAUGACGCUGAUUUUCUCCUUGUGAAACACAAGCAAAACCUGUCCCCCAUGUUAUCACCUUACCUAUUUCCCAUGUCUUAUUUUUAAUGUCUUUCCACCAAAUCAGUUUUCCCUCAUGUGGGCUGUUUUUUUUUUUUUUUUACCAGUAAAAUGUUGUUCUGCAGAAGUAGUGGUCUGAUUUUUAUAAAUGUUUAAAAAAUUUAAAGAGUGCUAGAUUAAGUUGUAUCUGGGGAGUGUUAUACUUCUUACUUUCUUUUUUCUUUUUUUUUGUUUAACUAAUUGAGCUUUGAGUGUUCUAUUAGUUCUUUCAAUUAUGGCCUGUCCUUGGUAAUUAAAAGGGAUUCCUGUUGU